UUUCUUCUGGUAUAGCUUCAGAAAGGACAAGAAGAGUACCAGAGUCUGAUAUAAGUGUGGUGAAUCUUCUGAGGGAGACAGAUUCUCUCUCCAUGGAGGCUAUUGCUAGUGAAGAUCCUUUUACCUCUGAGUUGAGCUCACAAAGUUCAACCAACACUCAGAAUGAGAGAUCAAAUGCGAGGGUAGGGAGCCGCGAGGACAACAAUCUAUCUGCUUUUGGUGCUUCUGGUCCAUCCUCUGCUGCUUCUAGAAUGAGGGGGAACCAAGAAGAGCCAAGGAGAAUGCCUGUGCAAUAUACGCCUUCAUCGUAUCAGGUUCAAGCUACUUCGCCACAACAAAUGACCUAUCCGAGGAUGGGUGGUGGUACACACGACAUGAUGCAGAACCUGCCUAGGAUUGCAACUGGAGAGGUACAUUCGAGUUUCCAAUCUCCUCACGGUUUGACAUCGCCUCCUAUGUAUACAUCAACAGCUGCAUAUAUGACAUCUCUGAGCCCGUUUUACAAUCAUAACUUUCAGUCCUCGGGUAUGUACCUCCCUCAGUAUGGUUAUAGCGGUUACCCUCCUGCCUCUGGUGUUGUCCCUCAGUAUAUGAGUGGAUACCCAUCUCAUGAAGCCACUGUUCCUAUGCCAUAUGAUAUCUCAUCGCCUUCUUCGGGCUACAACAACUCCUUCUCUCGUGAAUCCUUUUCACCUACUGCACAGAACACUCCUCUUCAAUCUGUUUGGUGAGAUUGGGCACCAACUUGAUCACCUCAUCAGCCUCUUCCACACGCUUACGCAGGCGUUCGAUCUCCUCCUGGACGCCUAUUACCCAAGGCUGACGAUAAUGAAAUCCAUCAGCCUUGGGGACAACAAAAAAAAACAUCAGACAACAUAAAAAAAAAAUUCUAUACUAAUAUAUGCGUCUGUUGAGGUAUCUCUUACCUCGUAGUUUAUGCAGCUGAAGAAGCGCUUCCCAGGAUGAGUGUCGUGCUCCUCCUUCACCCGAACCUCGUCAAUGAUUCUCCCACCACAGGGACAUCUUCUAGGAAUCCCAUAUUCAGAAUCUGCGACGUAUCCCAACAUGUUGCAGUACUCCUGAUGCCUCUUUGUAUCUCUUCUCUCCUCUGCGGGAUCCAUCUGAACCAGACAAGCAAACGGCUUACAACAAAAUCACAAAAUUAUAUCAUGAACGGAACCCAUAAUGGAACCCACUAUUCGAUAACAAAACGCUUCGAUCUAACCCAAAAUGAAACCCAGAUGACGAUUCGGAACCCUAGAAUCGAAACCCCCAAAACUCGAGUUUGAACCCUACCUCCAAUACCCCACUAAUCGACAACUAAACGGUUCGAUCUUACCCAAAAUGUAACCCAGAUGACGAUUUGGAACCCUAGAAUCGAAACCCCCAAAAUCGAGUUUGAACCCUAAUUUGAGAACCCCACUAAUCGACAUCAAAACGCUUCGAUCUAACGGGUAUUCACUCGACACACACCUAUUCUCGUCGAGGAGACACUCCGUCGUCGAUUCGAUGGAGAAAAGUGGAGAAACGUGAAGAAAAAUCAAAAUCGCUCGAGAGUUCGCCUCUCGGGAGAAAACCCUAGUCUUUUCUGGAAAAUGAGAAAAUGAAUUUCUCUCUGUUUUCGUCGUCGUGACGUCAACAACGCGGCGCCAAUGGAACCGUGACACCUGGCGUGAACCCGCCUCAUACCGAAUCACUUGUAAGAAGCGGGUCGCGGAAAUAAACCCAUUAAAACAUUUCUUUUUCCUAUUCGGGCCUAUGAACCCGAGCCCAUGAACCCCAUUACAACCUUCAAUGUGGAUGCUCUAAAAACUAUAAAUGAGAACAUUAUAAAUCUGAAUACUUCUUCUGUUUUUAAAGAUUAUUACUCGUAUAAUUCUUGUAAAAAUUCUAAUUAGUGGCUAAAAAGAAAAGAAGAAAAAUAAACAAAAGUGUGUAUUGUGUGUAUUUUGGUGGUAGCGAGCAAACAGGCAACAGAGACAGAGCCACGUGAACGUAUCUCUUUCAAUUACAAGUCUCAACACGUGUCGAACCUAGUCAUCACUUUUAGAACAAAUUGACGAAAAAGGGCUUGCGGUACCACCAUUAUCAAAACCAUACAGGGGGUGUUCCAGUCAUUACCUAGUUAAGAGGACGUCUUCGUGUGCGAAUCCGUCGUGAUUCUUAAUUAAGUUUUGGUUAAUGUUUUGUUAAAAUACGUAAAAAUUAAAGAUUAACAUCCCAAUAAUUGCCUUUAGAAAUUAAAGAAAAAAAACAUUAACUCUUGACUUGGUGACUCGACGAAAGCCUUGGAGACAAACUUUUCAAAGGGGUUAGUUUUAAUCUCUCUGGGUCUCAUCUCAUCGCUGCAACAAUUUCAUAUCAAGAAAAAAAAACACUUUCAUGGAGGCUUAAACAUCACCACCAUCAGGUAACUCUUUAACUCUUAGCUUCAGCCUAAGUUUUUGUGUUCUUUCACAAGUUAUGCAAGGAGCUAGUUUUAAAUGAAUAAAGAAGGAUAAAGUGAAGUUUCUGUUUAUUAGAAUUUUGAUCCUCGGUUAUAUAUGGGACUUUUACUCUUUGUAACGAGGUUGAUGAACGAGUCCAGUACUUUUAAAAAGAUGAUCCUUGUAAGUUCUUGCUGAUGGUUGUUUGGGUUGACUAAACUUUUUUAGCUUGUGAAAUGGUAGAAUCGUGUCUGAAAUUUUUCGAUCCUUGAUUGUCGAUUACACAUAGACUCAAAAAUAAACGUUGAUCAUUGAAAGUUUGGGAUCAAGUUCUCAGCUUUUUGAUUCUCUUAUGGACUAAGGUUUUAGCUUUACCCUUUUUGGGUUAGGUAGUAUUAUUAUUAUGUAAUCAAUCACCUUGUCUGAAAAUUUUGAAUUUGUUUUGGUUGAUGUAUAGAAAGUAUGACGACGCAGAGCGCUAUGAGGAUGGUGGAAGGUGAUCAUGUAAAAAGUUGGCAGGCUUCCUCUAGGGAUACUAGUGGGAUAUUUGGUUCACAUGAUAUGGCUGUUGAAGAUUUAAGGUUCCUUAUGGAAAGAAAUAGAUUGGAUAGUAGUGGAAGUGAUCAUACAGGUAAGAUCCCUAGUAGGAGUGGAAGCGCGCCGCCUAGCAUGGAAGGUUCAUUUGCAGCUCUUAGGAAUCUCUUGAAACAUCAGGAAGGUAGUUUUAGUAGGUCUAUUGAGAAUUAUGGCUCUGAAGAAGAGAUACGUAGCGAUCCUGGUUAUGUAGCUUACUAUUUGUCCAACAUCAACCUGAAUCCGAGGCUCCCUCCUCCGUUGAUCUCACGUGAGAAUCAGCACUUGCUGCGUCAUUUGGGUGGUGAUGGUAAUAACCUGAGUCCAACAGCGUCUUGGGAUGAUAUGGGGAUAAGAUCUUCCUUGCUUGCUUCUAGAACUGCGCUUUCUACACAUAGAGAGGAGCCUGAGGACGAGGCUUCUUCUGGUGAGCAACUGACUUAUGCUUCUUUGCCUGGUCGUCGUAAGAGCUUUGCUGAUAUCAUUCAGGUACUGCUUGAUUCUAUCACUUGUUUCUAAAAAUAUUAAGGAAGAUUCUCUCUUUUAACACUUUCUUUUGUGUUCAAGCGGCCUCAUUCGGCAGGGAACCAUCCAAUAGCAGAAGACAUCCAUGCCAUUUCUUCUGGUAUAGCUUCAGAAAGGACAAGAAGGUUACCAGAGUCUGAUGUAAGUUCGGUGAAUCUUCUGAGGGAGACAGAUUCUCUCUCCAUGGAGGCUAUUGCUAGUGAAGAUCCUUUUACCUCUGAGUUGAGCUCACAAAGUUCAACCAACACGCAGAAUGAGAGAUCAAAUGCGAGGGUAGGGAGCCGCGAGGACAACAAUCUAUCUGCUUUUGGUGCUUCUGGUCCAUCCUCUGCUGCUUCUAGAAUGAGGGGGAACCAAGA
rnacentral:lncRNA from 1 species